rnacentral:rRNA from 1 species
CCUACGGGAGGCUGCAGUGGGGAAUAUUGGACAAUGGGGGGAACCCUGAUCCAGCCAUGCCGCGUGUGUGAAGAAGGCCCUCGGGUUGUAAAGCACUUUCAGUGAGGAAGAACGCCUGGUGGUUAAUACCCAUCAGGAAAGACAUCACUCACAGAAGAAGCACCGGCUAACUCCGUGCCAGCAGCCGCGGUAAUACGGAGGGUGCGGGCGUUAAUCGGAAUUACUGGGCGUAAAGCGCGCGUAGGUGGCUUGAUAAGCCGGUUGUGAAAGCCCCGGGCUCAACCUGGGAACGGCAUCCGGAACUGUCAAGCUAGAGUGCAGGAGAGGAAGGUAGAAUUCCCGGUGUAGCGGUGAAAUGCGUAGAGAUCGGGAGGAAUACCAGUGGCGAAGGCGGCCUUCUGGACUGACACUGACACUGAGGUGCGAAAGCGUGGGUAGCAAACAGGAUUAGAUACCCCUGUAGUC